rnacentral:rRNA from 1 species
GAUGAACGCUGGCGGCGUGCCUAAUACAUGCAAGUCGAGCGAACAGAUGAGGAGCUUGCUCCUCUGACGUUAGCGGCGGACGGGUGAGUAACACGUGGAUAACCUACCUAUAAGACUGGGAUAACUUCGGGAAACCGGAGCUAAUACCGGAUAAUAUAUUGAACCGCAUGGUUCAAUAGUGAAAGACGGUUUUGCUGUCACUUAUAGAUGGAUCCGCGCCGCAUUAGCUAGUUGGUAAGGUAACGGCUUACCAAGGCAACGAUGCGUAGCCGACCUGAGAGGGUGAUCGGCCACACUGGAACUGAGACACGGUCCAGACUCCUACGAGAGGCAGCAGUAGGGAAUCUUCCGCAAUGGGCGAAAGCCUGACGGAGCAACGCCGCGUGAGUGAUGAAGGUCUUCGGAUCGUAAAACUCUGUUAUUAGGGAAGAACAAAUGUGUAAGUAACUAUGCACGUCUUGACGGUACUUAAUCAGAAAGCCACGGCUAACUACGUG